rnacentral:lncRNA from 1 species
CGCAAAUAUCUCCCCAUUGGCCCUAAUGUAUUUCUUCUCCAAGAAAAUCCUUAUCGUCACUCAGGCUCAGACUUUUUUAACUCGCUGUUGUGGCCACAUUUUUCGGAGUACAGACAUGAAAAACACAUCAUUGUGUUCAUGAAGGACGGAGGAUUCGUACGAUGUUCUUAUUUUCAUUCUGGGACUUAAGGAAAUCACGCUAUGUGAAGAAGUUCACAGGCUUCAAAUCCUCUGCUGUUCAGCUGCUUGUCAUUCAAACAGUAGGUCAGUGAUUUGCCUUUGAUCUCACAGCUGUUUAGGAUGCAGUCAUUAAUGAGACACACACACACACACACACACACACACACAUUCUUGUACUUGUUGCAUUGUCAGGUCUACCUUGCAGUUCACCUGCUUGUACACACAGAUAAUAUGUGUCUGCUUCACCACCUAUCUCCACCCACAAACUUUGAGCUACAGAAACCAUUCUGGGCUUGAAAAAUUCAGCUCAUUGAGGACAUUUUGGGGUGUUUUGAGGAUUUUGAUAAUAAAUUGUAUUAAUGUGUUCAGCAGUUUUUGUGGUUCUCACAAGCUCCUUAUCAUGAAUAUAUACAGAGGAUGAGCGUCAGGGCCUACUUGGAGUCCUGUUUCCUUAGCUUCAAGCCUUCUUUCUCCUGCUAUAGUUAUGCAUCCAAGGUCCCCAUGGCAACCAAUUUGUGCACCUGGAGACACACAGCUGACUAGAAAGCUGCUUUUAAUGGCCAUAUGAGACAUAUGAAGCCAGGCUCAGUACACAUAGCACUGGGGAUGACACUUAAAACCCUUUUCUAGAGCGCUUGAAAAAACUUCAGCUCCUAUCUCCUCACCUGACCUUUGACCUACAGAAACCAUUCAGGGCUUUAAAAUUUAAACUCAUUGAGGACAUUAUGGGGUGUAUUCAGGAUUCAUUUAAAUUUUUCACUUUUAAAAGUCACUCAGUGAUGAUUUAUCAUUUAAUUUUUCAAACUAAUUUAAACUCAUUCAAACUGAUUCAAACCUUUCUAAUACUUUAAAAAUUUCUGAUACUUGAGGAUUUUUGAUUAUUUAAAUUUUCCCUGUUUUAAAUAAGUUUUAAUAUUUAUGCAUUACUCCAUCCUUCAAACAAAAUCCUACCUCAAGUACGACCACUACUGCUAAUGUCAAUUGAACUAGUACUUUCCCCUCUACUUCAACUGCUAUUGCUCCUUUUUCUACUUUCUCUACUUCAACUGCUAUUGCUCCUAUUUCUACCUUCUCUACUACUGUGACUUAUACUUCUUUUAUUCUCAAACUACUUCUACUGCUGACAUGACUACUAGUAUCACGACUUGACCUCCUAUACUACUUCUAGUACUACAACUUAAACUUAUGCCACUUCUCAACUUCCUGCCUUUUAAGGCAGUUUCCUUCUUCAUUCAAACUUUGUGCAAUUUUAGACAUUUUUCUAGCCUCUUUCAGCAUGAAUAAAAUUUCCUUUUAUAGAGCAUAUUCAUACUAUUUGUCCUUCAACCAAUUAAUCAAUUAUCCAACUUACAUUUCUUUUUCACCCCUUCAAACGCUUUAACAUUUAUACCUUUCUCCAUGUUUUAUUAGCAGUUUAGCAUUGCUUUUUCAGCUUUCAGCACUCAGCAUUUCCACGCAUUUUCUGCAAGGAAAUGCAAUUUUUCUAGUUAAGUGGAAAUGCUGAUUAAGCAUUUCCACUUAUUGUUAUUCUCCUGUUUCUUUAUUAAACUUAUUAUUAUUCUUCCGCCGAUUUUUGGACCGCUUCUCCUCCUUCAAACUUUGUCCGAUUUCAACCGUUCAAACUUUAAACUAUUCCACUCAUUCAGGACAUUAUGGCGUCUAUUUUUUUCCUUUCUACCCUUUAUACUUUUUGUUUUUUUUAACUUUUUGUGCAAAAUUUGUACCAUUAAAAAUGAAUGGGGAAAUCUUAAAAUCUACCUUUUCCUCUUCCACCUUCUAGACCUUAUAACUUCAGCAUACUUUCACCUAGAGACCUAAUUUUUGCUUUAAAAUGUUCAUUCACUUGUCGACUAUUAAAGUUGUACUCAGUUUUUUGAUAUCUUUUACAGUUUUUCCACAAUUUAGCUUUAAGCAACUUGUGGUUUUCAGCAAAUUUCAAGCUUUAUAAUGGGUGUGUAUUGGAGAGUUUAGAGUGAUGAUGUCAUCAGCUAGAGUGCAGACCUCGUCUCUGAUCGACAGAACCUCGCUCGAAUAUAUCGCUCCCACGCCCACAAAUCUCACUCCACUGACACAAAUAAUACAUCAAAAUGGAGGUAUAUGUGUCCUGCUUCUCACAAAAGAGGUUUCAAAUCAUUAAAUCGUACCCCUUGGCCAGCAGGUGACCAACUGUCCAAAAAAGGCGGAAAUCUCUCCCAUUGACCAUAAUGUUAUUUUUCUCCAGGAAAAUCCGGAUCAUCGCUCAGGCUCAGACUUUUUUAACUCGCUGUUGUGGCCUCAUUUUUCGAAGUACAGACAUGAAAAACACAUCAUUGUGUUCAUGAAGGACGGAGGAUUCGUACGAUGUUCUUAUUUUCAUUCUGGGACUUAAGGAAAUCACGCUAUGUGAAGAAGUUCACAGGCUGAAAUUCACUGCAGUUCAGCACCUCUCAGUCAAACAGUUGGUUAGUGAUUUGCCUUUGAUCUCACAGCUGUUUAGGAUGCAAUCAUUAACGAGACACACAUACACACACACACACACACACACACACACACACACACACACACACACACACACACACACACACACACAUUCUUGUACUUGUUGCUUUUUGAGGUCCACCUUGCAGUUCAGCUGCUUGUACACACAGUUAAUAUGUGUCUGCUUCACCACCUAUCUCCACCCACAAACUUUGAGCUACAGAAACCAUUCUGGGCUUCAAAAAUUCAGCUCAUUGAAGAUAUUAUGGGGUGUUUUGAGGAUUGUGAUAAUAAAUUGUAUUAAUGUGUUCAGCAGAGUCUUGUGUUCUCACAAGCUCCUUAUGAAUAUAUACAGAGGGUGAGCGUCAGGGCCUACUUGGAGUCCUGUUUCUUUAGCUUCAAGCCUUCUUUCUCCUGCUAUAGUUAUGCAUCCAAGGUCCCCAUGGCAACCAAUUUGUGCACCUGGAGACACACAGCUGACUGGAAAGCUGCUUCUAGUGGCCAUAUGAGACACAUGAAGCCAGGCUCAGUACACAUAGCAAUUGGGAUGACACUUAAAACCCUUUCCUAGAGCGUUGGAAAAAACUUCAGCCCCUAUCUCCUCACAUGACCUUUGACCUACAGAAACCAUUCAGGGCUUUGAAAUUUAAGCUCAUUGAGGACAUUAUUGGGUGUAUUUAGGAUUGUUAUUCAUUUAAAUUUUUCACAUUUUAAAAGUCACUCAGUGAUGAUUUAUCAUUUAAUUUUUCAAACUAAUUUAAACUCAUUCAAACUGAUUCAAACCUUUCUAAUACUUCAAAACUUUCUGAUACUUGAGGACUUUUGAUAAUUUAAAUUUUCCCUGUUUUAAAUUAGUUUUAAUAUUUAUGCAUUACUCCAUCAUUCAAACAAAAUCCUACCUCAAGUACGACAACUACUGCUAAUGUCAAUUAAACUAGAACUUUCCCCUCUACUUCAACUGCUAUUGCUCCUAUUUCUACUUUCUUUACUACUUUGACUUAUACUUCUUUUAUUCUCAAUCUACUUCUACUGCUGACAUGACUACUAGUAUCACGACUUGACUUCUUAUCAUACUACUUCUAGUACUACAACUGAAUCUUAUGCCACUUCUCACCUUCCUGCCUUUUAAGGCAAUUUCCUUCUUCAUUAAAACUUUGUGCAAUUUUCGACAUUUUUCUAGCCUCUUUCAGCAUGAAUAAAAUUUCCUUUUAUAGAGCAUAUUCAUACUAUUUGUCCUUCAACCAAUUAAUCAAUUAUCCAACUUAUAUUUCUGUUCACCCCUUCAACAGCUUUAACAUUUAUACCUUUCUCCAUGUUUUAUUAGCAGUUUAGCAUUGCUUUUUCAGCUUUCAGCACUCAGCAUUUCCACGCAUUUUCUGCAAGGAAAUGCAAUUUUUCUAGUAUUAUACUUAACACUCUCCCCAUACGUUUCUUUGGACCGCUUCUCCUCCUUCAAACUUUGUCCGAUUUCAACCGUUCAAACUUUAAACUAUUACACUCCAUCGGGACAUGAUGGCUAUUACUUUUCUCUUUUCUACCCUUUAUACUUUUUAUUAUUUUUCACUUUUUGUCUCAAACUUUUUUUCCCAUAGAAAUGAAUGGGGAAAUCUUCCAAUUCUUCUUUUUCUUCUUCCACCUUCUAAGCCUUAUAACUUCAGCAUACUUUCACCUAGAGACCUCAUUUUUGCUUUAAAAUGUUCAUUCACUUGUCGACUAUUGAUGUUGUAUUAACUUUUUUGUGCUAUCUUCUACAGUUUUCCCCCAAUUUAGCUUGAAGCACCUCGUGGUUUUCAGCAAUUUUCAGGCUUUAUAAUGGGGGUGUAUUGGAGAGGCUAGAGUGAUGAUUUGAAAAGCUAGAGUGCAGACCUCGUCUCUGAUCGACAGAACCUCGCUCAAAUAUAUCGCUCCCACGCCCACAAAUCUCACUCCACAGCCAUAAAAAAUACAUCAAAAUGGAGGUAUAUGUGUCCUGCUUCUUACAAAAGAGGUUUCGAAUCAUUAAAUGGUACUCCUUGGCCAGCAGGUGACCAACUGUCCAAAUAGGCGGAAAUCUCUCCCCAUUAGACCUAAUGUAUUUCUUCUCCAAGAAAAUCCUUAUCCCCACUCAGGCUCAGACUUUUUUAACUCGCUGUUGUGGCCACAUUUUUCGGAGUACAGACAUGAAAAACACAUCAUUGUGUUCAUGAAGGGCGGAGGAUUCGUACGAUGUUCUUAUUUUCAUUCUGGGACUUAAGGAAAUCACGCUAUGUGAAGAAGUUCAGAGGCUAUAAAUCCUCAGCAGUUCAGCACCUCUCAGUCAAACAGUAGGUCAGUGAUUUGCCUUUGAUCUCACAGCUGUUUAGGAUGCAGUCAUUAACGAGACACACACACACACACACACACACACACACACACACACACACACACACACACACACAUUCUUGUACUUGUUGCAUUGUCAGGUCUACCUUGCAGUUCAGCUGCUUGUACACACAGUUAAUAUGUGUCUGCUUCACCACCUAUCUCCACCCACAAACUUUGAGCUACAGAAACCAUUCUGGGCUUGAAAAAUUCAGCUCAUUGAAGAUAUUAUGGGGUGUUUUGAGGAUUGUGAUAAUAAAUUGUAUUAAUGUGUUCAGCAGAGUCUUGUGUUCUCACAAGCUCCUUAUCAUGAAUAUAUACAGAGGAUGAGCGUCAGGGCCUACUUGGAGUCCUGUUUCCUUAGCUUCAAGCCUUCUUUCUCCUGCUAUAGUUAUGCAUCCAAGGUCCCCAUGGCAACCAAUUUGUGCACCUGGAGACACACAGCUGACUGGAAAGCUGCUUCUAAUGGCCAUAUGAGACACAUGAAGCCAGGCUCAGUACACAUAGCACUGGGGAUGACACUUAAAACCCUUUCCUAGAGCGCUUGAAAAAACUUCAGCCCCUAUCUCCUCACAUGACCUUUGACCUACAGAAACCAUUCAGGGCUUUAAAAUUUAAGCUCAUUGAGGACAUUAUGGGGUGUAUUCAGGAUUUAUAUUCAUUUACAUUUUUCACUUUUAUAAGUCACUCAUUGAUGAUUUAUCAUUUAAUUUUUCAAACUAAUUUAAACUCAUUCAAACUGAUACUUGAGGAUUUUUAAGUAUUUAAAUUUUCCAUGUUUUAAAUUAGUUUUAAUAUUCAUGCAUUACUCCAUCCUUCAAACAAAAUCCUACCUCAAGUACGACAACUACUGCUAAUGUCAAUUUAACUAGUACUUUCCCCUCUACUUCAACUGCUAUUGCUCCUAUUUCUACUUUCUCUACUUCAACUGCUAUUGCUAUAGUUCUUUUAUUCUCAAACUACUUCUACUGCUGACAUGACUACUAGUAUCACGACUUGACUUCUUAUCAUACUACUUCUAGUACUACAACUUAAACUUAUGCCACUUCUCACCUUCCUGCCUUUUAAGGCAAUUUCCUUCUUCAAUCGAACUUUGUGCAAUUUUAGACAUUUUUCUAGCCUCUUUAAGCAUGAAUCAAAUUUCCUUUUAUAGAGCAUAUUCAUACUAUUUGUCCUUACUUACUAUACUUCUUUUUCACCCCUUCAACAGCUUUAACAUUUAUACCUUUCUCCAUGUUUUAUUAGCAGUUUAGCAUUGCUUUUUCAGCUUUCAGCACUCAGCAUUUCCACGCAUUUUCUGCAAGGAAAUGCAAUUUUUCUAGUUAUACUUAACACUCUCCCCAUACGUUUCUUUGGACCGCUUCUCCUCCUUCAAACUUUGUCCGAUUUCAACCGUUCAAACUUUAAACUAUUCCGCUCUAUCAGGACAUGAUGGCUAUUACUUUUCUCUUUUCUACCCUUUAUACUUUUUAUUAUUUUUCACUUUUUGUGCCAAACUUUUUUUCCCAUAGAAAUGAAUGGGGAAAUGUUCCAAUUCUUCCUGUUAUUCGUCCACUUUCUAUGCCUUAUAACUUCAGCAUACUUUCACCUAGAGACCUAAUUUUUGCUUUAAAAUGUUCAUUGUCUUGUCGACUAUUGAUGUUGUAUUAACCUUUUUUUGCUAUCUUUUACAGUUUUUCCACAAUUUAGCUUUAUGCAACUUGUGGUUUUCAGCAAAUUUCAGGCUUUAUAAUGGGGGUGUAUUGGAGAGGCUAGAGUGAUGAUUUGAAAAGCUAGAGUGCAGACCUCGUCUCUGAUCGACAGAACCUCGCUCGAAUAUAUCGCUCCCACGCCCACAAAUCUCACUCCACAGCCAUAAAAAAUACAUCAAAAUGGAGGUAUAUGUGUCCUGCUUCUCAAAAAAGAGGUUUCAAAUCAUUAACUCGUACCCCUUGGCCAGCAGGUGACCAACUGUCCAAAUAGGCGCAAAUCUCUCCCCAUUGGCCCUAAUGUAUUUUUUCUCCAAGAAAAUCCUUAUCGUCCCUCAGGCUCAGACUUUUUUAACUCGCUGUUGUGGCCACAUUUUUUGGAGUACAGACAUGAAAAACAGAUCAUUGUGUUCAUGAAGGAUGGAGGAUUCGUACGAUGUUCUUAUUUUCAUUCUGGGAUUUAAGGAAAUCGUGCUAUGUGAAGAAGUUCAGAACCCUAAAUUCACUGCAGUUCGGCAGCUUCUCCAUUCAAACAAUAGGUUAGUUAAUGCUUUGAUCUCACAGCUGUUUAGGAUGCAAUCAUUAACGAGACACACACACACACACACACACACACACACACACACACACACACAGAUUCUUGUACUUUUUGCUGUCAGGUCUACCUUGCAGUUCAGCUGCUUGUAUACACAGUUAAUAUGUGUCUGCUUCACCACCUAUCUCCACCCACAAACUUUGAGCUACAGAAACCAUUCUGGGCUUCUAAAAUUCAGCUCAUUGAAGAUAUUAUGGGGUGUUUUGAGGAUUGUGAUAAUAAAUUGUAUUAAUGUGUUCAGCAGAGUCUUGUGUUCUCACAAGCUCCUUAUCAUGAAUUUAUACAGAGGAUGAGCAUCAGGGCCUACUUGGAGUCCUGUUUCCUUAGCUUCAAGCCUUCUUUCUCCUGCUAUAGUUAUGCAUCCAAGGUCCCCAUGGCAACCAAUUUGUGCACCUGGAGACACACAGCUGACUGAAAAGCUGCUUCUAAUGGCCAUAUGAGACACAUGAAGCCAGGCUCAGUACACAUAACACUGGGGAUGACAUUUAAAACCCUUUCCUAGAGCGCUUGAAAAAACUUCAGCCCCUAUCUCCUCACAUGACCUUUGACCUACAGAAACCAUUCAGGGCUUUGAAAUUUAAGCUCAUUGAGGACAUUAUUGGGUGUAUUUAGGAUUUAUUUUCAUUUAAAUUUUUCACAUUUUAAAGUCACUCAGUGAUGAUUUAUCAUUUAAUUUUUCAAACUAAUUUAAACUCAUUCAAACUGAUUCAAACCUUUCUAAUACUUCAAAACUUUCUGAUACUUGUGAAAUUUAAUUAUUUAAAUUUUCCAUGUUUAAAUUAGUUUUAAUAUUUAUGCAUUACUCCAUCCUUCAAAAAAAAUCCUACCUCAAGUACGACAACUACUGCUAAUGUCAAUUAAACUAGUACUUUCCCCUCUACUUCAACUGCUAUUGCUCCUAUUUCUACUUUCUUUACUACUUUGACUUAUACUUCUUUUAUUCUCAAUCUACUUCUACUGCUGACAUGACUACUAGUAUCACGACUUGACCUCUUAUCAUACUACUUCUAGUACUACAACUUAAACUUAUGCCACUUCUCACCUUCCUGCCUUUUAAGGCAGUUUCCUUCUUCAUUCAAACUUUGUGCAAUUUUCGACAUUUUUCUAGCCUCUUUCAGCAUGAAUAAAAUUUCCAUUUAUAGAGCAUAGUCAUACUAUUUGUCCUUCAACCAAUUAAACAGUUAUCCAACUUAUAUUUCUUUUUCACCCCUUCAACAGCUUUAACAUUUAUACCUUUCUCCAUGUUUUAUUAGCAGUUUAGCAUUGCUUUUUCAGCUUUCAGCACUCAGCAUUUCCACGCAUUUUCUGCAAGGAAAUGCAAUUUUUCUAGUUAUUAUUAUUAUUCUUCCGUCCCUUUUUUGGACCGCUUCUCCUCCUUCAAACUUUGUCCGAUUUCAACCGUUCAAACUUUAAACUAUUCCACUCCUUCAGGACAUGAUGGCGUCUAUUUUUUUUCUUUCUACCCUUUAUACUUUUUGUUUUUUUUAACUUUUUGUGCAAAAAUUUUAACAUUGAAGUCAAUGGGGAAAUCUUCAACUUCUUCCUUUCAUUCUUCCACCUUCUAGACCUUAUAACUUCAGCAUACUUUCAUCUAGAGACCUCAUUUUUGCUUUAAAAUGUUCAUUCACUUGUCGACUAUUAUAGUUGUACUCAGUUUUUUGAUAUCUUUUACAGUUUUUCCACAAUUUAGCUUUAAGCAACUUGUGGUUUUCAGCAAAUUUCAGGCUUUAUAAUGGGUGUGUAUUGGAGAGUUUAGAGUGAUGAUGUCAUCAGCUAGAGUGCAGACCUCGUCUCUGAUCGACAGAACCUCGCUCGAAUAUAUCGCUCCCACGCCCACAAAUCUCACUCCACUGACACAAAUAAUACAUCAAAAUGGAGGUAUAUGUGUCCUGCUUCUCACAAAAGAGUUUUCAAAUCAUUAAAUCGUACCCCUUGGCCAGCAGGUGACCAACUGUCCAAAUAAGCGCAAAUAUCUCCCCAUUGGCCCUAAUGUAUUUCUUCUCCAAGAAAAUCCUUAUCGUUACUCAGGCUCAGACUUUUUUAACUCGCUGUUGUGGCCACAUUUUUCGGAGUACAGACAUGAAAAACACAUCAUUGUGUUCAUGAAGGACGGAGGAUUCGUACGAUGUUCUUAUUUUCAUUCUGGGACUUAAGGAAAUCGUGCUAUGUGAAGAAGUUCACAGGCUUCAAAACCUCUGCUGUUCAGCUGCUUCUCAUUCAAACAGUAGGUCAGUGAUUUGCCUUUGAUCUCACAGCUGUUAGGGAUGCAGUCAUUAAUGAGACACACACACACACACACACACAUUCUUGUACUUGUUGCAUUGUCAGGUC